CCUACGGGAGGCAGCAGUGAGGAAUAUUGGUCAAUGGGCGCGAGCCUGAACCAGCCCAGUCGCGUGAGGGAAGACGGUCCUAUGGAUUGUAAACCUCUUUUGUCGGGGAGCAAAAGACGCCACGCGUGGCGUUCCGCGCGUACCCUACGAAAAAGCAUCGGCUAACUCCGUGACAGCAGCCGCGGUAAUACGGGGGAUGCGAGCGUUAUCCGGAGUUAUUGGGUUUAAAGGGUGCGCAGGCGGAAGAUCAAGUCAGCGGUAAAAUUGAGAGGCUCAACCUCUUCGAGCCGUUGAACCUGGUGUGCUUGAGUGAGUGAGAAGUAGGCGGAAUGAGUGGUGUAGCGGUGAAAUGCAUAGAUAUCACGCAGAACUCCGAUUGCGAAGGCAGCAUACCGGCGCUCAACUGACGCUCAUGCACGAAAGUGUGGGUAUCGAACAGGAUUAGAUACCCUAGUAGUC
rnacentral:rRNA from 1 species